rnacentral:rRNA from 1 species
UACGUAGGUGGCAAGCGAUACUCGGAAUCACUAGGCGUAAAGCGCAUGUAGGCGGUUCGGUAAGUCUUUUGUGAAAGCUCCCGGCUUAACUGGGAGAGGCCAAGGGAAACUGCCGAGCUAGAGUGUGGUAGGGGAUACUGGAAUUCCUGGUGUAGCGGUGAAAUGCGUAGAUAUCAGGAGGAAUACCGAUGGCGAAAGCAGGUAUCUGGGCCAUCACUGACGCUGAGCUGCGAAAGCUAGGGGAGCAAACAGG